UACGUAGGGUGCAAGCGUUAAUCGGAAUUACUGGGCGUAAAGGGCUCGUAGGUGGCCAACUAAGUCAGACGUGAAAUCCCUCGGCUUAACCUGGGAACUGCGUCUGAUACUGGAAGGCUUGAGUAUGGGAGAGGGAUGUAGAAUUCCAGGUGUAGCGGUGAAAUGCGUAGAUAUCUGGAGGAAUACCGGUGGCGAAGGCGGCAUCCUGGACCAUUACUGACGCUGAGGCGCGAAAGCUAGGGGAGCAAACGGG
rnacentral:rRNA from 1 species